GUGGUUUAAUUCGAUGAUACGCGAGGAACCUUACCUGGGCUUGAACGUAUGGUGCAUUAGGGUGAAAGCCCUAUUCUAGCAAUAGACUUCAUACGAGGUGCUGCAUGGCUGUCGUCAGCUCGUGCCGUGAGGUGUUAGGUUAAGUCCUGCAACGAGCGCAACCCCUGUUUCCAGUUGCCAUCAAGUAAAGUUGGGGACUCUGGAGAGACUGCCUGCGCAAGCAGAGAGAAGUGGGAUGACGUCAAGUCAGCAGGCCCUUACGUCCAGGGCUACACACGUGCUACAAUGGCCGGUACAGAGGGCAGCGACCUGGUGACAGGUAGCGAAUCUCCAAAGCCGGUCUCAGUUCGGAUCGGAGUCUGCAACUCGACUCCGUGAAGCUGGAUUCGCUAGUAAUCGGAUAUCAGCAAUGAUCCGGUGAAUACGUUCCCGGGCCUU
rnacentral:rRNA from 1 species